rnacentral:rRNA from 1 species
UGUGUAGGCGGUUUGGUAAGUCUGGUGUGAAAUCUCCCGGCUCAACUGGGAGGGUGCGCCGGAAACUGCCGGACUCGAGUGCGGGAGAGGAGAGUGGAAUUCCUGGUGUAGCGGUGAAAUGCGUAGAUAUCAGGAGGAACACCGGCGGUGUAGACGGCUCUCUGGACCGUAACUGACGCUGAAACACGAAAGCGUGGGUAGCAAACAGGAUUAGAUACCCUGGUAGUCCACGCCCUAAACGAUGCAUAUUUGGUGUGGGUCAUUCAGUUGAUCCGUGCCGGAGCUAACGCGUUAAAUAUGCCGCCUGGGGAGUACAGUCGCAAGGCUGAA